rnacentral:rRNA from 1 species
UACAGAGGAGCCAAGCGUUGUCCGGAUUGACUGGGCGUAAAGAGCGCGCAGGCGGUCGUUCAAGUCGAGUGUGAAAGCCCCCGGCUCAACUGGGGAGGGUCACUCGAUACUGAUCGACUCGAAGGCAGGAGAGGGUAGUGGAAUUCCCGGUGUAGUGGUGAAAUGCGUAGAUAUCGGGAGGAACACCAGUGGCGAAGGCGACUACCUGGCCUGUUUCUUGACGCUGAGGCGCGAAAGCUAGGGGAGCAAACGGG